rnacentral:lncRNA from 10 species
UACAAAAGAAACCUCAGAAAGCUCACUAGCUUCCUUUCACCGUUUGAGGACACAGCAAAAAGACAGCUCCUAUGAACCAGGAAGUGGGCAUUCAUCAGACACAGAACCUACCAGUGCCUUGAUUUUGAACUUCUCAUCCUCUGCAACUUGCCUCCAAAUUCCUGUUGCUUAGCACAUGAUCUUCCCUUCUGAAGAAAACCUUCUUUCUUCUCUCUGGAGGACAGAUAUCGAUGUUGCAGGUCACCUUCUGAAAAGCCAUCUCUUGAUCCCUCUCAGGCCCAAGAAAUCUUCCAGUCAUGCCGUUGACUCUUUAUUGUGGAUAUUACAAAUGUUUUGACACAUCUUCAGGGUCAGUUUACAAAGAAAACGGAUUCUGCAUCCUCCUCAAAGUUCCAGAGUUUGAAUGUAUUUCUUUACAUGAAGAGGACCUAGGGAUGAAAAAGUGAAUUCAGUUUUGUUUUAUAAUUUCUCACCUCUCAGCACAUCAGAAGUAAAUAUUGGCCCUGCACACUUGGAUCCUUCUAAGCAGUGGAUGCUUCUGUCAGGCUGAGACUAAGCUUUGUAGAAGAGGAGGAAGACAAGAGCUACCAUCUGGAGAGCAGAACGUUUUGGGAAGCCAUCAAAGGCAAAGAACCUAAGAAUCCAGGAAGAUCUUGAACUAUUACCCUUUACUUUAAUUUUUAAUCAUGGAAAUAUUUGCUUGGAAAAGAGACUGUGUCUACAAUGGCAACCAUUUUUAUAUUCAGAAAUUUGCCAUGUAAAAUAAUUGAAUGUCAGAUGAAGAACUGCCUGUCAUAUUUUGCUAUUAAAAUAAUAUAUUUUUAUGCAUAACCUGACCUGCCUUUGUGAGUUACUGUAGCCUGUGGUCUCUCUGCAAGAUUUUCCAAUGGGAUUUUUAAUAAUAUUCCGAUGUUUGCCAUCUUAAGCAGUGCAAGCUGUUAAACUCAAUUUGUGAAAAAAAAAAAAUCAGGUAUAAAACCAGAUAAUCUGUAUCCCUUUGGAAUCAAAAGUCACUUUGCCAAAAUAUUUUAACACGCAAAAUUGCUUCUUGAGAGAUGUUUGUCAUGAUAAAAUGACAGAAAACUACAUUUCCAUUAUAAUUAUAACUGACUCGUGGUGCUAAGUUUUUAUAAUUUAAAGGUAUUCUCAACUCUGACAGCCCUUCCAUGUUGAAUUAUGCAUCUCAGGCUCUUAAAUAGUUCUGCUGGCACGAGACAGCUGAGAUGAAGUUGUCUUUCUAAAAUAAUUGCUCCAUGGAGCAUCCAUUAUACCUUCAGAAAAAAUGUAUUACUUGACUUCUACAAAUUAUAGACUAGCCUAUAAUGGGUAUUUUUGACAGCUAUUAGCUUUAAAAAAAUCUGAACAGUAAAAUGAGUAUUGAUAUCACAAUGGUGUACCGUGCAUGUUAAUACCAACCUUCUCUGUACUUUCCUCCUAAAGCAUGAUGUAAUCAUUAAUUAUAAUAAUAUUGAUAUAACUGCACUCAUGUUAAAAACAUAGUAUUGGCAAAGUAUGUAAUUUUCUCGCCUAUAAGAUAAAAAGCAUUAAAUGAAUAUUUACAGUAGAUUUUGAAGACACUGUCCAAGCUUGAAAGAUAAAAAGUGAAUUCAUUUUUGGCAAUAUUUUUCUUAAUCAUGAGAUUAUUAAGUGUAUUUUUAAAACAUGAAUGAGACAAUAAUCAAUGAAUAAUAGAGGUAAUAAUUUUAUUCCUCAGAUUCUUCUUCAAAAUGUUGAACACUGGUAAAAACAUAAUUUAUCAAUAAAUUUUAGAAAUGUUUUCCAUUUCUUAUCAAGAAUUUUAUGCAUCAUUUAGUUCUUAAACCAGUUCUAAUUUUUUAAAUAAAAACACUUGAAAACAUUCUUGCAGGAACAUUGCAUCCCACAGAACAACAAUAAUCCAAUUAUUAAAAUCUAGAAUGGAAACAAUAUUGAUAGAAAUAAAAGUAAAGGGUCAUUUUCUUUACUGUUUCCAUUUGUACCAAUUAAUUCCAGUUCUAUGAAAUAAAAUAUUUGUGGUUAAAUUUAGGGAAAUUCUAUGCAAAUUUAAAGUUUUCUGUGAUAAACAAAUAUAAGGUAAAUAUUUUCCUAGUGUAUUGCAUUGCCAGGGCCUUUUUUUUUUUUUUAAUGUGACUACAGAGAAAGAAAUGGCUUAAUUUCCUACGUCUCCCCUGAAUAAACAGUUCACAGACCCAGACACAUAUGGACACAUACCUCCUACCUGAAAAAUAAAAAAGUUACAAUAUAUCACUAACUUAACAUUAAUUAACACAUCAAUCCAUAGUGUAGCAACUGCCUAGUCUGUGCUACUUUGCCAAGUACUGAUCAGACAGUUCUUACUCACAAUUAUUCCUUAUUAACCGUAUCCUAGAGGUUCAUUCUUCUAUACAUGGCCAGAGCCAAAAUUACCCAGAUACGUGGUCUUUACAAAUUCCCUUGGAUUUAAAUUCAUCCUCCCCUCUCAGGCUAACAGUAGAGAGACAAUUCCUGGGCUAAGUCCCUGCACUCGUUUUCUUUUGUGUUAGGGAUUUGGUUGGAUGAUGAGGACGGGUGGGAAGUUAGAGGGAAACAUAAUACAGUUUUAGUGCAUCUUUCCAAUUCUCAUGUCUUACUUUUAUGUCUCUUAUUCAAAUGAAGUUAGAAGACUAUAAAGUUAAAGAGAUAGAGAAAUAUUUAGAAAUAAAUAUUUAACCAUUGUCUUAAAAGAACAAGAGUAGGAGGGAAGGAAGUAGAAAGAAACAGGUGACAGAGACUUUAUACUUCACUAUGCAUUAGUCACACCCUUUAUACUGGGUCCAAUGGGUACAAUCCAAAGUAGAGAAAAAUGCUCUAGUGUUGGGAUUAAUAGUUUACGUUAAGGUUACCACAAUUGUUUAUGACAAUCUAAGUUAAAAAAAUCUCUUUUAUAUAUUCUUUGCAGCUGAUAUUAUAUUAAACAUUAACACACUUCUUUUUACUGGGUAAGAAAUUUUGAUAGCAUGAGAUUUUGAUUUUUUAAAUAUUUAUUGUAGUCACAAAUUAUUAAAUUACGAACAAAAAUUAUUUAUCUGUUUACACAAUUGAGGCAUUAUAGAUGGAGUUAUCAAACAAGUAUCUCCCCAAAGCAAAACCACUUAUAGUAACAAAAGGAUGAUUUUUAUUUCAAGGGACUUAAAUAAUGUAUUUCUACAUCCUUAAAACUCAUCGAAAAUUGGGUUUAUGGGUUUUUAAUUGGAAAGACUACCAAGUGGUGAACACUAUCUGCUGGGAAGAACCUGUGUCUAUAAUAUUCUUUCAAAAACCCGUGUCAUUCCUGUGUUUACUAUGAAUAAAAUUCAACAUGUAUAUUAUCUGUUUGUGUGGUAUUUACAUAAAAUGUGAAAAUUAUACACAAAAUCACCUGUGAAAAUGCAAUGGAAUUUUGCAUGAUUUUAGUUACUACUUUUGAUUUUUCUAUAGCCUUCACAUUUUACACAAUACAAAUAAGUUUUUAUUUACUUUAUGUAAGCAAU